UACGAAGGGUGCAAGCGUUACUCGGAAUUACUGGGCGUAAAGCGUGCGUAGGUGGUUCGUUAAGUCUGUCGUGAAAGCCCCGGGCUCAACCUGGGAAUGGCGAUGGAUACUGGCGGGCUAGAGUGCGGUAGAGGAGAGUGGAAUUCCCGGUGUAGCAGUGAAAUGCGUAGAGAUCGGGAGGAACACCUGUGGCGAAAGCGGCUCACUGGACCACAACUGACGCUGAGGCGCGAAAGCUAGGGGAGCAAACAGG
rnacentral:rRNA from 1 species